GACAGAGGUGCCAAGCGUUAGGCGGAAUCACUAGGCUUAAAGCGUGUGUAGGCGGAAUUGUAAGUACCUUGUGAAAUCCCAUGGCUCAACCAUGGAACUGCUCGGUAUACUGCUUUUCUUGAGCCACUUAGGGGCUACCGGAACAAAUGGUGGAGCGGUGAAAUGCGUAGAUAUCAUUUGGAACGCCAAUGGUGAAAACAGGUAGCUGGGAGUGUGCUGACGCUGAGACACGAAAGCCAGGGGAGCGAACGGG
rnacentral:rRNA from 1 species